GUGGGGAAUUUUGGACAAUGGGCGAAAGCCUGAUCCAGCCAUGCCGCGUGCAGGAUGAAGGCCUUCGGGUUGUAAACUGCUUUUGUACGGAACGAAAAGACUCUGGUUAAUACCUGGGGUCCAUGACGGUACCGUAAGAAUAAGCACCGGCUAACUACGUGCCAGCAGCCGCGGUAAUACGUAGGGUGCAAGCGUUCAUCGGAAUUACUGGGCGUAAAGCGUGAGCAGGCGGUUAUAUAAGACAGAUGUGAAAUCCCCGGGCUCAACCUGGGAACUGCAUGUGUGACUGUAUAGCUAGGGUACGGCAGAGGGGGAUGGAAUUCCGCGUGUAGCAGUGAAAUGCGUAGAUAUGCGGAGGAACACCGAUGGCGAAGGCAAUCCCCUGGGCCUGUACUGACGCUCAUGCACGAAAGCGUGGGGAGCAAACAGGAUUAGAUACCCCGGUAGUCC
rnacentral:rRNA from 1 species